CCCCCAGCCUGAGGCACCGCGGGGGCGAGUUCCCGGGAACGCCUCCCCGCCCUUCUCAGGCAACCCCGCCCACUGGGCCCGCCCCGUCCCGCCGGCUACUCACCGGAUUCGCUUCCCACAUAACGUGUUUUCAAAAUAAUGAGUUCUCAUCCUGAGAACACUUGUUCCUGUAUUCAGGUCGUAUGUCGGGAGGCGGAGUGGUCUGGGUGGAUGAACCCAGAACCUCACACAUGCCAAACACCUCUUCCACCACUGAGUUAAACCUCGACUGCCUAAGUCUCUGAUAGCUUUAAAUACAUUAAAAAUAUUUAUACAACAA